rnacentral:rRNA from 1 species
UGCAUCGAUGAAGAACGCAGCGAAAUGCGAUAAGUAAUGUGAAUUGCAGAAUUCAGUGAAUCAUCGAAUCUUUGAACGCAUCUUGCGCUCCUUGGUAUUCCGAGGAGCAUGCCUGUUUGAGUGUCAUUUCUACUCUCAAGAACGCAGCUUGGUGUUGAGUUUGCUCGGCUUACUUGAAAAUUAUUCAUGCAUCUGUCUAGGUUCUACCAAUUCUUUUGCAUCUUUUAAGUUUGACCUCAAAUCAGGUAGGACUACCCGCUGAACUUAAGCAUAUCAAUAAGCGGAGGAAAGGAAAGCAGGCUGCAGGUGAUGCACUGUGAUCUCUCUGCUCUCUAAUUGACAUUUUGUCUGAUAACUUGACCUCAAAUCAGGUAGGACUACCCGCUGAACUUAAGCAUAUCAAUAAGCGGAGGAA